CAGGAGAUAGUUUAUGUAGAAUAUCA
rnacentral:tRNA from 1 species